UAUACCCACGUCAUUAAAACAAUAGCAACUUCCUUUUUGUAGCAUGUCUGCUAAUGGGUCUUUAGUUUUCUUGAGGAAAGCCUCAGAGAAAACCCAAAUGGGAAAUGUAUGACCCUAUGAACAGAAAAUACAACUUUUCCUAUUUUGGUUUUUCUCUUUAUAGUACUUCAGUUCUAAGUUCUCAGGCAUAAGUAGGGGUAGAAACUGACCUAAAGUCCAAUGUACUUUUUACUCCCCCCCAAAACAAGUAUUCUACAGGAUGAGAAAUUCAAACGAGAUAAAUAAGAAACAAGAUUUUCAGGACAUCAGUUGUGAUCAGAAAGAGGGAGUACCCUCAGUGAAUAUAAAACCUUAAUGACAGGUGUGAUGAAUUUCUGUUAAUGUAAAACUACAGACUUUUAGGUCUAAAGAAUGACAAUAAAGAUCAUCUAUUCCAACCACUUUAUUUUACAGAUGAAUAAACUCAGUGACCAGGUGAUUAAAUAACUUGCAUGAAGACGCCAGCUAUGUUGGAUUUUCUGUGGCUAGCAAAACCAUGCUUAUCAGUCCCUUGGUGUCGACAGCAGAAUAUCGCACAGUAUCUGCCAGACCUUAAGCUCCUUUUCAGAAGUUACCUUCAGUGGCUUUGCAUUAUGUCUGGCCCAUGGUUGAUGUUGAUUGAGUGGAUGAGAGACUGCCAAGGACCCUUUCUGAAAUCUGCUAAGGUUAAAAAUAAACAAUUUCUCAGUAGCAAUUGCUUGUUUUCCGAAAAGACCUAUUGUUCAGAAAGAAGCAUUGGAGAGAACUUGAACUGGCUGCAAACCCAAUCAACUAACUUGUGUCUGCUAUCAUAACCUUUCGGGACAAUGUCGAGAUGGAUUACUGGCUAAAAGAUCAUAUUCCUUGGAACUGGCCAGCCAGAAGCUUAAAUGGACGUCUGUGCCCUUGAUACACUGAAAUAAAGAUGUCAAAAUAGCCCCAUGCCCUGCCACAGUCCUUGCUCCAUGGUCAGAAAAUGGCCUGAGGAAGGCCCAAGUCCUGGCAGGGGCUCUGCUGGUCUACGCCCGAAAAAGGAAGAAACCACCAGCAGCUUUUAUCAGGUUCAGUUCAGAGUUUAAAAUAUCGUUCCCCUGUCUUUGCCCAAAAGGGGCAAUCUGAUCUUAUGAGCAAACAGCAAAAGGCAUUUUGUAUUUAAACACACACACCACACACACACACACACACACACACACACACACACACACCAAAACCCUGUUUGUUGUUGGUUUCAGUGUAACUGUUUCACAAUUAUCUUAAUUUGAAAUGCUUAAUGUUGUUAGGACAUUUUUACUUUGUUUCUGAGACAUGUAUUAAGUAAAAAUCUUUUAUGAUGUUAAGCAUUUAUCCUUGAUCUGAUUUCUGCUAAUAAUCUCAUUUGAAUAUGAAAAACAAAAGAAAAUAAGUGUUGUCUCUGCCUGGUGUCCGGUUCAAGAUAUUUGACUUUUAAAUGUUGGCCUAAAGAGAAGAGAAUGCAGUUGCUAUUUGCUGAGCCUGGAACUAUGCAAUUUGCUGUAUGUUUGCUGAACUCAUUGGUACUGCUGCCUACUUGCUACCCAUUCUCCUUUCCAGCCACUUUCUCCUUCUUUGAAAAUUUCACCAACCUGUACCUCAUUUUGGGCACAAUGAUGUGCAGAGUUUCGUCUUUCUCUUUUAUGCCACAUUUCGGGUAAAAUAAAAGUUGUAUGGAACCAGUUCACAUCUUGAACCAUUGGCAAAGAUUGACUGGUCCAAGCCCAGAGAUGCAGACUAUGUUUAAGACCAAGAAAAAAAAAUCGAGGUAGGUGCAGAUCCAGGCUCAGAGCCAAGAAGGCCAACCGUAGGCUUGAUGUGAUGAGGUAAGUUGUGAUUUAUACCCCAUAGACUCUGCUCCAAGGUCGGGGAUGUUUUUUCAUCCUGUCUUGGAUUUUCUACUAUGAGCAGGUAUCUUUGGGCCCACCUCAGGUGAGCACUCCUAGUGGGAGUAAGGGGCCAUAGGUGUUCUCUGUCAUUGACUGGAAUAGAACAAGUGCUAGG
rnacentral:lncRNA from 1 species